rnacentral:lncRNA from 10 species
UUCAGGAGGAGAGGGAGAGCUGUGUCAUCUCCGAGAGUGAACCCCGUCACAAUUACAUUUCAGGGACACCUGGCAAGCUAGAAGGAGGGAGCUCUCUCUGUCUUGGGCAAAGGAUAUGACCAGUGAGCUGGGACGCAACUAGAGAUUCCCAGGCCAGGGCUCUCGCUUUUGCCCCAGAAGGAUUCCUCUGCCAUGGUGAAAUCAAGGCAGGCACCUUGUCCCUUCAGGCCCUUGUUUUUGCCCUGUGUAAAUUCUGUCCCUCGGCAGGGGACCCCAUCUGUCUCAUCAUCCCUAGUCACUUGCAUCCAAGUGAAAAGGCUCUUGAGGGAGGAAAUUAGAGUCUGGUGUGUGGCAGGAUUUCCGGUACCCGAGGGCAACAGGAAGCUAACAGGGAAGGUUGGGGUUACCUAAGGCGAGCUGCACCUGCUUCCCAUGAUGCCAGGGGCCAGCCCCACUGCAUCCUCCCUCCAGAAUCCCACAGGAUCCCCACCAGGCAGUGGGCACUAUUGUAAGCCUCACAUCAACUAAUAUUCAGAAGGAUUAAGUAACCACAGAGCCACGAAGUGGCAGAGGCAAGAUUUGAACCCAGGUCUGUCAGACUCCAGAGCCCAGCAGAGCAAGACCAGCGCUCAUGACCUGCCAGGCUCUCCAAAAGACCCACGAUGUCAGUAAAUCUGAUCAGAAAAAGUCUGGAUUUGUGAAGCUCAGACAGCAGGAAGUGACUCCUCACAUUGCGAAGGACUCAUCCUGCCACUAAGUAGCUGUGUGCCUGUGAGCAAGUCCCCAGGCCCUUCUGGGUCUCUGCAAAAUGAGGUCUGUUUUUAACUGCCCCUAAGUGGGGUGUGAAAUUUUCACCCACACCCACCUCUCCACAAAAACACACCUCUGAGUUCUCUACGUUUACCCCUCACUCGGGAAAUGGAAAUUGCUUUGAUUUAUCCUGAGCCCACCUUCUGAAAAAGCUGCUUUUUCCUGUUGUCUAGGAUUGGUUUGCAACCUUUCCAAGUCUUUUGCAUACUGUAUGAGUGGUGAAUCUUCGAGUUAGAGGUGGUAUUACAUACAGGAUUUCUCCAACUUACUUAGCCAGGGAACCCAAACACCCCUUGAAAAUGCCAUCUUACUAUGUAGCUAUCUCCCUUCACCUCCCAGCUGUAAUCCCAAAUAAACAUGUAACCUUCAGUAAGCCACUUUCUCUCUCUCAGCUUUAUACUCUUUGUGUGUCAAAUAAGGGUGUUCAUCUAGAUGGGGAAUGGCAAAGAGGCCUGCUUGGAACGCAAGUGCCAGCUUGAAUCUUGGAAAUCCCCAGCCUGUGGGGAUUGUUCAGAGGAAUUCUGAUGCUGCCUGUAGGCUUGAAGGAACAGCUGCCACGGUUGAUUAGGCGUGACUGCCCCAGUCCUAAGAGCUGGACUGGCAGCCUGCGUUGCCCUGCACUGGCUGUCCCUGUAACUAAAUAACCCCUAAGGUCAGCUUCUGCUUCAAGAGGCUGCU